UGGCGAACGGGUGAGUAACACGUGGACAACCUGCCCAAAAGAGGGGGAUAACACUUGGAAACAGGUGCUAAUACCGCAUAACCAUAGUUACCGCAUGGUAACUAUGUAAAAGGUGGCUAUGCUACCGCUUUUGGAUGGGCCCGCGGCGCAUUAGCUAGUUGGUGGGGUAAAGGCUUACCAAGGCAAUGAUGCGUAGCCGAACUGAGAGGUUGAUCGGCCACAUUGGGACUGAGACACGGCCCAAACUCCUACGGAAGGCAGCAG
rnacentral:rRNA from 1 species